rnacentral:lncRNA from 1 species
AUGCCCCUCGCUGGUGGAUCUGAGAAAUUGAGAGAGAACGUGUCGUUAAGUGGGUAUUAAACUUAGUUACGUAUGUUGUUGGUAAGAGGGACAAAUUUCAGCCGUUGGAUGUAAAUCAAUCCGACGGUUUGGGGCUUAUUCCUGGUUUGUUUUCAAAAAUGAUAGGUGUCGACAAUAAAUGCAGGGUUUCUCUUCUGUGUGGAGACUGAAACGAGCCGCCGCUGAGAAGAAGAAAGGUAAUUGCUUGAGAUUUACGAAAAGAAGAUUGUAUGUAAUAUUUGCAGUUUGGAAACAGACGAAGGAGAGCAUGUUGAAGAGGAGGUUGACGAGCUAGAUGUCAGGCCUAGAUGUGGACGUAGAUGGAAUAAGUGUGUGGACAUGGAUGGAAAAGUGUGAACGAUAAAAAUGUGAACAUAUAUAUAAAAAGAAAAUGAAUCAAUGACAAAAAGAUGUAUAUCUGAA